rnacentral:lncRNA from 1 species
AGAAUUGUUCCCGCAAAGAAGGGUGGAGAGAAGAAAAAGGGCCGUUCUGUCAUCAACGAGGUGGUGACCCGAGAAUACACCAACAACAUUCACAAGCCCCAUCCAUGGAGUGGGCUUCAAGAAGAGUCCCCCUCGGGCACUCAAAGCGAUUCAGAAAUUUGCCAUGAAGGAAAUGGGAACUCCAGAUGUGCACAUUGAUACCAGGCUCAACACAGCUGUCUGGGCCAAAGGAAUAAGGAAAGUCCCAAACCGAAUCCGUGUUUGGUUGUCCAGGAAAUGUAAUGAGGAUGAAGAUUCACCAAAUAAGCUCUAUACUUUGGUUACCCAUGUACCUGUUAACCACUUUCAAAAAUCUACAGAGAGUCAAUGUGGAGGAG